ACUAACCGAAGAAGAAAAACCAGGAAGUGAAUUGUUUGAAAUGUGAGGAGAGGUUACUGAUACUAAUGAACAGGAGAGGAAGCUAAAUACUGAACUGGAUUAUACAUUUGAACCAAUAAGAAGACAAGAAGUGAGAGUUUUUGGCCUAACGACAACAAAUCCUACCACACAGCUACAGGGAGCCAGAGUUUGCUGUUGACACGUAAGGACUCCUCCAAAGAGCGGUGGCACCCUCAUCCGCUGUGGUGCUGCUCUUGGAGAAUGGCGCUGUGGCCUUCUGACAAGGCCCCAUCCGGACUCCCUCCAUCAUCAUGUCAGCGUUCACUGGGAGUUGAGUCAGCGGAACAAAAGGGGGCUUGUUUGCUCUUACAACUCGGCUAACCUCCCUUGGCCCGGUGUUUACAACCACUUUCAGUUCAUUUGGAUAAUCAGACUAUCAAACUGGAGCUGCAAUUAAAGCAGAGUCAUAAUGUAGGGCACAAAGCAAAAGAAAAGUCAAUGAAUGAUCAUAUUGGGCUGAUUAGCAUUAUGCAAUAGAAAUGAGACAGCCAGUUAAUUAAAUGACAUAUCAGUCCAUUGUGUUGCACUUUCUUGGAGUAUAUUCUUUCUUGGAGUAUAUCCUUAAAAUCUGAACAAUCAAAGUAAGAAACAUAUGUAAAUAAAUAAACCAUACUAAUAAUGAAA